UGUGUGUGUGUGUGUGUGUGUGUGUGUGUGUGUGUGUGUGUGUGUGUGUGUGUGUGUAUCAUGGUGUGUGUUUUGUCCUCCGUCUGUAUCUGAUGAUGGGGUUGUUGGGUGUGUGUGUGUAUCAUAGUGUGUGUGUGUGUGUGUGUGUGUGUGUGU